CCCUAGCCGCGAUAGUAACGGUUACCCCACAGCAGGAGCUGGCUCUGAAAGAAUGCGGCUGCGCGAGGAGUAUGAGUGGAUAGCGCGAAACAGC
rnacentral:sRNA from 1 species